rnacentral:rRNA from 1 species
CUGGCCCUAAACGAUGUCCACUAGGUUGUGGCACUUUUAACGGUGUCAUGGCCGAAGCAAAAGCAUUAAGUGGACCGCCUGGGAAGUACGGUCGCAAGGCUAAAACUCAAAGAAUUGACGGGGCUCACACAAGCGGUGGAGCAUGUGGUUCAAUUCGAAGCAACGCGCAGAACCUUACCUGGGCUUGACAUGCCAGGAUUAUCCUUAUGAAAGUAAGGUAGGCCCCGCAAGGGGUACAACUGGCACAGGUGCUGCAUGGCUGUCGUCAGCUCGUGUCGUGAGAUGUUGGGUUAAGUCCCGCAACGAGCGCAACCCUUGUCCUAUGUUGCCAGCGGGUUAAGCUGGGCACUCUAAGGGGACUGCCCCAGAUAAUGGG